rnacentral:sRNA from 1 species
AGUUAAAUUACUAGUUACCCAUUUAACAACUCAACCCAUUUAACAAAAUAGGUUGGUCAACCCAUAACUCAUUUAACCCUAAACUAAUUUGAUUAUAAGUUGAGUUGAGUUCGGUUAUCUAUUUUGAUAUCCUUACUUAAUAUUAUUGUUAAU